UUUGAAAUUACAGGGCUUUCAGGCAAAGAUGUGAGAAAAGGAAUAACUGUUCUUUACUAGUGUGUCUCUGUAUAAUGAGGGAAA